UACAAAUCGGGAAACCUGCUCGCGGAAGGUUUUCUCGUCGAUUUAUUUUCCGAAAAACGUCGUUUUGAGCUGUUCUCUACGCUUCUCUUUUCGAAAAAUCUAGUUCGACGGUUGACGCGUGUGUUGCUAUCAGUUUUGUGGAUCCUACAACGCAUUAUCAACGGCAAUCGUCGCCUAAAAAUAGAACAUUACCCGAUAUACUUGUAGGGAAACCUAGUUGGAGGUUUCCAUUCAUAAAAUACAUUCAUUUGGUGUCGGACAGUGAAGGUACUCCGUUCUAAAGUUGUGUAGCAUCGCUGCGUUCUGGACUAGUGUGGCGAAUCAAUACUUCGGGUGACCGAAACGAGUUUCCACCUCGCGGACUAACCGGAGCGAAAGGACAAAAUGGCGACGGAAGGCGGUCUGGCGCCAGGCGGCGACGGCGACAUGCCCGUGGGCGGGCCGAAGACGCCCCAGCAGAUCGCCGCCCAGCGUCGUCUGCAGCAGACACAGGCUCAAGUCGACGAGGUGGUGGACAUCAUGAAAACGAACGUAGAAAAAGUGCUUGAGCGAGAUCAAAAGCUCUCGGAACUUGAUGAUAGAGCAGACGCUCUGCAGCAGGGUGCCUCGCAAUUUGAACAGCAGGCUGGAAAACUGAAGAGCAAAUUUUGGUUGCAGAAUUUAAAGAUGAUGAUAAUCGCUGCCGUCAUUGGUAUCAUCAUUUUAGCCCUCAUCAUCGCCAACUUUGUGUGAACUUUCGGUAACCGCAGUUUAAUUUAGAACUUGUUAUAAUGUUAACGAAUAGAAUAACGCAUAUUGUUAUUUUUUAUUUCGUUGGUUCUAAGCCUAUUUUGGUCUGUAAACACCCACAUCAAAGGAUUCCAGGAGAGGUUCCUUUCUUGAACAGGACACCAGCCUAAGUACCACAGAAUAUUCACCGUACAGAACAUUGAAGUUAGUAGAUUUUAGUGUUGUUAAAAAUAUACCUACGACUAUGUAACACUUACGCCUCCAGACUAUCUCACAUAAUCUGAAUCCUAAAGUAAUGUAAUUUUAAAUCACGCCGUUCUUUUAUAACACUUACAAAAUAUACUCCUCGGAAAAGAUGAAAUAGAAUAUUUUUAGAUAAUCUUUCUUCAAAUUAAUACGAUAAAGCAAAACUGCUACCAAAAGGCUUAUUCAAAACCAUAUCUAACUUCGAAGUUGAAUUUCCGAUUUUAAUAUCGUUGUAAUAACAAACAAAGUUAAGUUCAAUUUGGACCAAGUUUCUGAAACAACUUGUAUUUUACUUUCUUAAAUAUAUUUUAUGCCUAACUUCCUUUCUGGUCGUUGAUCUUUGAUGUACCUAUCUACUCGCUAUACUUAAGUAUGUUUGUCUAUGCUUAACAUUUGUGAAUCAAGUUUAUUAGGUGUUGAAUAUGUUGAUACGGAAUAGAUAUAAAUAGGUUUAGAGCCAAUCGAUUCAUUUGGUCCAUUACAUUGAAAGUAAAUAAAGUGUAUGUUUCCAUACUUAUUAAAGCCAAAAUACAUACUCUCACUACACUAGAGCGAAAUAGUAUUUAAAUAGGUUAUAUUACUUCAUCGAUUUCAACAAUGGCAAAUAUUACUACAAAAAUAUUUUAUCACAUAGUCAGUCUUCCGAGAUUUAUAACAAAACAUUCAAUUCGCUUUGUAAUUCAACUGAAUUGAUGUAACUUAAACUUAUCACCGAUGUAAAAUAUCAUAAAAUUACAUUGAUAGGCGUAUUUCAUUUUAACUUAUAAUCACUUAGCUGUUUAUUAUAACCGUGAUUUCUAUUUGAAACGAAAUUUGUACUUAAUCGAGUUGUUGUUUGUAAUGAAUAAAAAAUUAAAUAAUAAU